rnacentral:rRNA from 1 species
UAAGGAAUAUUGGACAAUGGCCGCAAGGCUGAUCCAGCCAUCCAGCGUGCAGGAAGAAGGCCCUAUGGGUUGUAAACUGCUUUUAUCAGGGAAUAAACCUCUGGAUUCACUCCGGAGCUGAAGGUACCUGAAGAAUAAGCACCGGCUAACUCCGUGCCAGCAGCCGCGGUAAUACGGAGGGUGCGAGCGUUAUCCGGAAUUACUGGGUUUAAAGGGUGCGUAGGCGGCUUUGUAAGUCAGGAGUGAAAGU